rnacentral:sRNA from 1 species
AAUUAACAAACACAGUGCGUUAGCGAUAGCAGUGGUAUCCUUUUUUGAGGGAAACGGAAAAAAAGAUAUAACGGAUAGCGCGACCUGAA